CUGGCUAAAUUUAAAAGGUUGAACUGAACUUAGCCAGUUAGAGUAACAGAAAGAAGAACAUAAGGAAGGAAGGAUAAAAGGAGGACUGUGUUGUUUGAGCCAGGGCACAGUGGUGAGCUCAACAGGAGCACUGAGAGAAGCUUGGCAUAAGUCCAUCAAAUCCUGUUCUACAAGGUGAAGAGGACAGACAUCAGUAGAUUGAGAGACUAGAAAAUGAGAAGAGAAUGUCAUGAAUACUGACA
rnacentral:lncRNA from 1 species